rnacentral:rRNA from 1 species
CGCGUAGGCGGCUCGGUAAGUCAGAUGUGAAAGCCCGGGGCUCAACCCUGGAAGUGCGUUUGAAACUGCUGAGCUUGAGUGCAGGAGGGAGAGGUGGAAUUCCAGGUGUAGGAGUGAAAUCCGUAGAUAUCUGGAGGAACACCGGUGGCGAAGGCGACCUCUUGGCCUGAUACUGACGCUGAGGCGCGAAGGCGUGGGGAGCAAACA